rnacentral:rRNA from 1 species
AUUGAACGCUGGCGGCAGGCCUAACACAUGCAAGUCGAACGAGUGGCGGACGGGUGAGUAAUGUCUGGGAAACUGCCUGAUGGAGGGGGGUCACUAAUGGACACGGUAGCUAAUACCGCAUAACAUAGGAUGUGCACAGAUGGGAUUAGCUAGUAGGUGGGGUAAAGGCUCACCAAGGAGACGAUCCCUAGCUGGUCUGAGAGGAUGACCAGCCACACUGGAACUGAGACACGGUCCAGACUCCUACGGGAGGCAGCAGUGGGGAAUAUUGCACAAUUGGCGCAAGCCUGAUGCAGCCAUGCCGCGUGUAUGAAGAAGGCCGUCGGGUUGUAAAGUACUUUCAGCGGGGAGGCGUUACCCGCAGAAGAAGCACCGGCUAACUCCGUGCCAGCAGCCGCGGUAAUUC